GGCUACAUCACAUUGAAACACCAGUUCCUCUAUGAUCACUGAAGUUAAGCAAUGUCGAGCCCAGUGAGUACCAAGAUGGGUGACCACUUGAGAAUACCAGGUGU